rnacentral:rRNA from 1 species
GCAAAGGUAGCAUAAUAAUUUGCCCUUUAAUUGGGGGCUUGUAUGAAUGGACCCACUUCAUCUAACUGUCUCAGCGCUAAUUCUGAAAAUUUCUAUCUAGACGAAGAAGCCUAGAUUUUCUAGAAAGACCAAAAGACCCUAUAGAGCUCCGUAAGGCCACAGAAAACCCCUCCUACCCUUACUUCAUUGGGGCGAUGAAAAAGUCAUUCCUUCUUUUAACACAAUUACUUACCAGUUUCUUAACAACCCUCAAACGAGACCACGGACAAGCUACCUUAGGGAUAACAGUCUAAUUUUCUUUAAUAGCCCACAUUAACAAGAAAGUUUGGCAC